UGAGCCCACAGACAUCAUAAACCUAGGGCACCCAAGACACUCCACUGACAUGUCCACCCACUGCAUCAAAGUGAGGAGUUAGCACAUGGCAAUGAAUGGUCCAGAAGGAAACCUGUGCAGCCAGCCUGUUAUGGAAGGCUAACAGCAAAAAUUAUUUCAUCUUCUCAAGUCAGAAGAUUAGUCAGAAUGCACCUAAGCAACUCAAGUGCUGAAUAAGAAAGUACCUUUUCAAGUACAGCUUUUUAGCAGAGAAUCACUGCAUCAUUUUAUUGCAUUUUCUGUUCACUGAGUCUAAAGUAACAACAGGUAACAGCACCUCUGUGAACCUUUGGGCCCUAAAAUCUCUGAUACUUUUCUGUCUAAAUACGAUAAUGUCUCACUUGCAAGUACUUCAUAAUCUCUAAUGUAGUAACACUACCUAAACUCAUGAAUAAAGAGAAUGCAGUUAUGGAAAUA